GAUUAUCGCCUUCUUUAAUUUCUAUUUUCUAUAAUAUUAGAAGUUCUAUAUUAUUUAUGACCUUUAUUUUGUGUGUUUGACAGGACGAUGCACAUAUUUUCUGUAGGAAGUCCCAGAUAAAAGAUGAAGUCAUAAAAGCCUUGAACUUCAUGGAUUAUGUCUAUCAAAUAUUUGGUUUCACAUAUGAAGUGAAACUUUCAACAAGGCCAGAGAAAAUCUUUAAAGAUCUUGUAAUGUGGG